rnacentral:rRNA from 1 species
UACGGAGGGGGCAAGCGUUACUCGGAAUUAUUGGGCGUAAAGGGCGCGUAGGCGGUCGUGCGCGUCGGAGGUGAAAUCCCCGGGCUUAACCCGGGAGCUGCCUCCGAUACGGCAUGGCUUGAGUCCGGGAGAGGGGAGCAGAAUUCCCAGUGUAGCGGUGAAAUGCGUAGAUAUUGGGAGGAACACCAGUGGCGAAGGCGGCUCACUGGACCGGUUCUGACGCUGAGGCGCGAAAGCGUGGGGAGCAAACGGG